AGUGAACGCUGGCGGUAUGCCUAACACAUGCAAGUCGAACGGCAGCACAGUAAGAGCUUGCUCUUACGGGUGGCGAGUGGCGGACGGGUGAGGAAUACAUCGGAAUCUACUUUUUCGUGGGGGAUAACGUAGGGAAACUUACGCUAAUACCGCAUACGACCUACGGGUGAAAGCAGUGGAUCUUCUGACCUUGCGCGAUUGGACGCGCCGAUGUCGGAUUAGCUAGUUGGCGGGGUAAAGGCCCACCAAGUCGACGAUCCGUAGCUGGUCUGAGAGGAUGAUCGGCGACACUGGAGCUGGAACAGGGUCAAGGCUACUACGGGAGGCAGCAGUGUGGUAUGGUGGACAGUGGGCGGAAGCAUGAUCCAGCCAGACCGAGUGGGUGAAGAAGGCCUUCGGGUUGUAAAGACCUUUUGUUGGGAAAGAAAAGCAGCAGGUUAAUACGCCGCUGUUCUGACGGUAACCAAAGAAUAAGCACCGGCUAACUACGUG
rnacentral:rRNA from 1 species